AGAGGCGAGGUGUAAAGGGAAGCGGAUCUUCUUCCUGGAGAAGGGAGCGGAGGUGGCGACGGGUUUGACCCGGCUCUGUCGGAGCGGCUUCUGCUGCCAAUACCUGCCCAGAUCUUGGAACCAUGAUUGCUGAAAGUGGCUCCUUUGUGAAGGGCAUGAUGCUUGGAGGACUCUUCUGUGCCUUCGUGACUCUUCUAGGACAUAUUAAGACAGGUCACAGCACCAAAUCUCACGAGCACCGUCACCUCCAGGCUCCGAAAAGAGAGGCCAUUUUAAAUCUCUCCAAGGAUGAGCGCCUGGAACUGAGCCAGAGUAUCCGUGUGUAUUGCAUCAUCCUUGUCAAGCCUAAGGACCUCGCCCACUGGGCAGCUGUAAAAGAUACAUGGAGCAAGCAUUGCGAUAAGGCCGAAUUCUACAGUUCUGAAAAUGUCAAAGUCUUUGACUCCAUUGUUCUUGACACAAACGACAUGUGGACAAUGAUGCGGAAAGCAUAUAAACUUGCCUAUGAAAACUACAAAGAUGACUACAACUGGUUCUUUCUGACCCAUCCCAGCACAUUUGCCAUUAUCGAGAACUUGAAAUAUUUCCUCUUGAGACAAGACUCGUCCCAGCCCUUCUACACAGGUCGCACAGAGACAUCCGGAGACCUUCAGUACGUGAAUGGGGACGGCGGGAUUGUCCUGAGCAUUGAGUCAUUACGGCGGCUUUACAACAUUUUUUCAGAUCCGGAUAAGUGUCCUGAACAGGGGGGCAUGAUUUGGAAACUCUCUGAAGAUAAACAGCUAGCUGUGUGCUUGAAAUACACUGGGGUACAUGCAGAAAAUGCAGAGGAUUCUGGGAAAAAGGACAUUUUCAACACCAAACCAGUGGGAUCUCUCAUUAAAGAGGCCAUGUUAAGUCAUCCUCAGGAGGUGGUGGAGGGCUGCUGUUCAGAUAUGGCCAUCACCUUCAGUGGGUUAUCUCCUAACCACAUGCAUGUCAUGAUGUAUGGUGUUUACAGACUCCGAGCAUACGGGCACAGUUUUAAUGAUGCUCUGGUCAUUCUACCUCCCCCUGGUUCCGACAACGACUGACGGCUGUCGUCCAGUCAACCUGUAUGUAAAGCGUGUAGUCUUCACGUGGAGUGCCCUUCAGCAAGCAGCAUGCAUACACGCCGGUACAAUUUUUUGUAUUUGAUGGUCUCAGUGUAUUGACUUUUUUGCCACAACCUGCUUUUGUAAUCUUUACCAGUGGUGAACGGGGUGCUCUUUUACAAAACAAGCCCUUUUUUAAUGAAUUUUCAGCAUCUUCUGAAAAAAUGAUCACAUCUCCAUUGUCCAUGAAAACUGUGUAGCGGAGUUCAAGAUCUACCUGCUGGAGCCAGAUGAAAUUUUAGGUUCAAGAGAACAACCUGCUAGAGUCCCAAAAGGGCUGUUAAACUUCAGCAUGCAGGCACAUGAAUGGAUACCUCAGUGUGGUGGGAAGCCAGUAUACAAAGGUGAAGAGUUCUACCUAAGCCAUCACAGCACAGAAAUAAUUUCUACAGACUGACCUGUAACAUGAGGAAUGAUGGUUUGCAGCAGGCAAGGCCGCAUGUCAUAAGGACUCCUCCUUGUGGGACAGCCAUGAUCCACACUGACAUAGAAAAUUCUUCUGCAGGUCACACCUACAGAGACCCAAAACUUCUGCUCGCUUGUCAGCUCUGGUCAAUAAAAUUACUGCAUCAUCCUGGUUUGUAUGUAAGGACAAGACUGAAUAUGAGUUGUUGAACUACAUGUUGCAAAACCUGUAAACCCUGCACUAUGUUUAACAAUGGGAUGUUAACCACGAGCAAUUCAGGAGAAGAAUCCUUGAUUUGAUGAUAGUUAACAAUAAACAAUAAACCAUAGAGCAGGUCUGCACAUAAACCAGAAUUCAAUGACAACCCAUACCCUGGGGUUUUUAAUGCGGAUGAGAUAAAUU